ensembl:lncRNA
UCUCUUCUCUGGGCUCAACAGCCCUAGCACUCUCAGUCUGUCCUCACAGGGUGGUCUUCAAUCCCUUGUACUGUUUUUGUGACCUUCCUCUGAGGUCUCACCAGUGCAGAGGAGAGGGUCAGGUUCACCUCCCUAGAUAUGCUGAUCACACUUUUUUGAUGCAGCCCAAGGUACUGUUGGCUUUCUGUGCUGUAAGGGCAUGCUACUGGUUCACGUCUAGCAUGCCAUCCACCAGGACCCUCGGGUUCUUUUGGGCAGGGCUGUGCUCAAUCCUCCCAUCUUCCAGCAUGUAUUGAUGGUAGGGGUUGUCACAACCCAGGUGCAAGUUCUUGCACUUGGAUUCGUUGAAUCUUAUAAGGUUCUCCUGGGCCCACUGCUCAGCCUGUCUGGGUCUUUCUGAAUUGCAACCUGUCCCUCAGGCAUGUUGACCACACCACACAGUUUGGCAUUCCUAAAACUGCUGAGGGCUCACUUGAUCCCACCAUCAGUGUCACCGAUGAAGAUGUUACACAGCAUCAGCCUGGAAUUGGCCCCUGAGGGAUGCAGCUCCUCACUUAUCUCCAUCCAGACACUGAGCCAUUGACCACCAUUCCAGGCACAGCCUUGCAACCAGUUCCUGGUCCAUCAAACAGUCCACCUGUCAAAUCUGUAUCUUUCUAAUAUGGACAGAAGAGUGUUUUUGGGAACUUCAUGAACUCACGCUGUCUGGAUCUGAUCACAUGGCUGUCCUGUCCAGUACGUGAUGGCACACAGAAUAAUCUGCUCUGUGAUCUUUCCUGGUACUGAGGUCAGACUGAGAGGCUUAUAAUUCCUCAGAUAGGCAUUACAUUUACCAACCUCCAGUCACCUGGGACCUACUCAAUUAACCAAGACUUCUGGUAGACUAUUGAAAGUUGUUCAGCAAGCACUUCUGCCAGUUCCUUCAGUACUCUUCAGUGGAUUCCACCUGGUACCAUGGAUGUGUAUGAGUCUGCUGGAUCUGGAUGGACCCUGGGUUAUCUGGCAUCGUGUCAAGCAAUUCAUCCCUUACGUACAGGAAAAAGGUAAGUGAAAUAUUAAUAAAUGGAAAAGAG